rnacentral:rRNA from 1 species
CCCAGACUCCUACGGGAGGCAGCAGUGGGGGAUAUUGCACAAUGGGGGGAACCCCGAUGCAGCGACGCCGCGUGGGUGAAGGAGCGUUUCGGCGCGUAAAGCCCUAUCGGCAGGGAAGAAGGAGGACGGUACCUGACUAAGAAGCCCCGGCUAACUACGUGCCAGCAGCCGCGGUAAUACGUAGGGGGCAAGCGUUAUCCGGAUUUACUGGGUGUAAAGGGGGCGCAGACGGCAGCGCAAGCCAGGAGUGAAAGCCCGGGGCCCAACCCCGGGACUGCUCUUGGAACUGCGCGGCUGGAGUGCAGGAGGGGCAGGCGGAAUUCCUGGUGUAGCGGUGAAAUGCGUAGAUAUCAGGAGGAACACCGGUGGCGAAGGCGGCCUGCUGGACUGCGACUGACGUUGAGGCCCGAAAGCGUGGGGAGCAAACAGGAUUAGAUACCCUGGUAC